rnacentral:rRNA from 1 species
AGAGUUUGAUCCUGGCUCAGGAUGAACGCUAGCGGCAGGCUUAACACAUGCAAGUCGAGGGGCAGCGAGUAGAUUGCUUGCAAUCUACGUCGGCGACCGGCGCACGGGUGCGUAACGCGUAUGCAACCUACCCAUUACAGGGGGAUAACACUGAGAAAUCGGUACUAAUACCCCAUAACAUCCAGGGAGGCAUCUUCUUGGGUUGAAAACUCCGGUGGUAAUGGAUGGGCAUGCGUUGUAUUAGUUAGUUGGUGGGGUAACGGCUCACCAAGACAACGAUACAUAGGGGGACUGAGAGGUUAACCCCCCACAUUGGUACUGAGACACGGACCAAACUCCUACGGGAGGCAGCAGUGAGGAAUAUUGGUCAAUGGACGCAAGUCUGAACCAGCCAUGCCGCGUGCAGGAAGACGGCUCUAUGAGUUGUAAACUGCUUUUGUACGAGGGUAAACGCAGAUACGCGUAUCUGUCUGAAAGUAUCGUACGAAUAAGGAUCGGCUAACUCCGUGCCAGCAGCCGCGGUAAUACGGAGGAUUCAAGCGUUAUCCGGAUUUAUUGGGUUUAAAGGGUGCGUAGGCGGUCGGAUAAGUUAGAGGUGAAAUCCCGGGGCUCAACUUCGGAAUUGCCUCUGAUACUGUUCGGCUAGAGAGUAGUUGCGGUAGGCGGAAUGUAUGGUGUAGCGGUGAAAUGCUUAGAGAUCAUACAGAACACCGAUUGCGAAGGCAGCUUACCAAGCUACUUCUGACGUUGAGGCACGAAAGCGUGGGGAGCAAACAGGAUUAGAUACCCUGGUAGUCCACGCAGUAAACGAUGAUAACUCGUUGUCGGCGAUACAAUGUCGGUGACUAAGCGAAAGCGAUAAGUUAUCCACCUGGGGAGUACGUUCGCAAGAAUGAAACUCAAAGGAAUUGACGGGGGCCCGCACAAGCGGAGGAACAUGUGGUUUAAUUCGAUGAUACGCGAGGAACCUUACCCGGGCUUGAAAGUUAGUGACAGAUCUGGAAACAGGUCUUCCCUUCGGGGCACGAAACUAGGUGCUGCAUGGUUGUCGUCAGCUCGUGCCGUGAGGUGUCGGGUUAAGUCCCAUAACGAGCGCAACCCCUACCGUCAGUUGCCAGCAGGUCAAGCUGGGCACUCUGGCGGGACUGCCGGUGUAAGCCGAGAGGAAGGUGGGGAUGACGUCAAAUCAGCACGGCCCUUACGUCCGGGGCUACACACGUGUUACAAUGGCAGGUACAGAGGGCAGCUACCCAGCGAUGGGAUGCGAAUCUCGAAAGCCUGUCUCAGUUCGGAUUGGAGGCUGAAACCCGCCUCCAUGAAGUUGGAUUCGCUAGUAAUCGCGCAUCAGCCAUGGCGCGGUGAAUACGUUCCCGGGCCUUGUACACACCGCCCGUCAAGCCAUGGAAGCUGGGGGUGCCUGAAGUUCGUGACCGCAAGGAGCGACCUAGGGCAAAACCGGUGACUGGGGCUAAGUCGUAACAAGGUAACC